CGUUACGGGGCGUCAUGGGCGCUAUGGGAGGUGGUUGAGCCUCGGACGUCGUCCUCGAGGCGGCUUGAAAUUCCUGGAACGAUUCCUCCUCGUCCUCGGAGAACAGAUUGGGAUUGAAGAAAGAUUGCUCGUCGUAAAAAAACGAGGAGGGAAGGAAUACGAAACAAGCAUUCGAGAGAAUUAAUAUGCGAAACAGGUGUUGCUCUUUAUUGAUUAAUUAUAAGGAUGUUCAAAUGUAUUUACCUCAGGCGAUCCGCACAGGUCGGCCGUGUCCCUUUCCGUAUCGGAUCCAUCGCUGAACGAGGGACACUGCGACGUAUCUUCCACCACUUGAAGGGUGUCCUGACUUUGUGGGUCGAAUAUCACAAAUUCUGGCC